rnacentral:rRNA from 1 species
UACGUAGGGUGCAAGCGUUGUCCGGAAUUAUUGGGCGUAAAGGGCUCGUAGGCGGUUUGUCGCGUCGGGAGUGAAAACCAGGUGCUUAACACCUGGCUUGCUUUCGAUACGGGCAGACUAGAGGUAUGCAGGGGAGAACGGAAUUCCUGGUGUAGCGGUGAAAUGCGCAGAUAUCGGGAGGAACACCAGUGGCGAAGGCGACUUCCUGGCCUGUUCUUGACGCUGAGGCGCGAAAGCUAGGGGAGCAAACGGG